UACAGAGGGGGCAAGCGUUAUUCGGAAUUAUUGGGCGUAAAGGGCGCGUAGGCGGCCAUUCAAGUGACGGGUGAAAGCCCUCGGCUUAACCGAGGAACUGCCUGUCAGACUGGAUGGCUUGAGACCGGGAGAGGUGAGUGGAAUUCCCAGUGUAGCGGUGAAAUGCGUAGAUAUUGGGAGGAACACCAGUGGCGAAGGCGGGUCUCUGGGCCGUAACUGACGCUGAGGAGCGAAAGCGUGGGGAGCGAACAGG
rnacentral:rRNA from 1 species